rnacentral:lncRNA from 1 species
UCCGACACCCCUUGAGGCCCCCCCGCCCACGGAAUGACAGACCCACCGAGGAGCCCACUCCGCAGAAGCCCAGCUCCACGCUCUCCCUGGGCAGUCGUUACACGGCGCCGUGCGGAACGCACCUGGAGGAAAAACAGAGGCUUCUGGUGGGCAGGCGACAUUCAUACGGGCCUGCUCCAGAGACCAUGUUCUGCAGGAGCGCCCGCCAGGGCAUCCCCCCCGGCCCGCCAGGGAGGCCGCCCUUCUUGCCCUUGCCAGCCCGUGCUGCAGAAGCAGCAUCCCUCUCCAGCAGCACGUCUGCACAGCAGGCUUGAGGCUUGCCUGGAGACAUCCAGGCGGGUUGGAGGCCAGUGUGGGAGGGCUGGGACUCCGGGCACUGAAGGCUGGGGAGGGGCCGGGCAACACACGCAGAGGAGACUCACCCCUCACUUGCACGGGGGGCUCAUUCUGCAACUGGGCUCGGAACAGCUGCCUCAUCCCAAGGGGCCAAAGGAAACAGCUCAGUCCCUGCACUGCAGGGAGCCCAUAGUGCUCAAGGCAGCAGAGGCCUCUCUGCUUCUCGGAGACGCAGCUCUGGUGGCCUUCACCCCGGUUACAGAGUUCUUGCUCGGCCAGACGCUGUCAGCAGGGUGCAGCACCGUUAGGGCAGAGGCCGGAGCCCCGGUUGCUGGGAGGGCAGGACUCAAGAGAGCUCUGUGCUCCCCCUGCCUCCCUCCCAGCAGCAAGAAUGCCACAGGUGUCCGGCUUAGAAGGUGCUCACCCUGGCUGCCCAGCGACAGCAGCAUCAAGUCAAGAGGCCACUGGUGGACCUGCGCCCUGAUUGCAGGGAGCAGAGGUGUGCCCUGCCUCUGUGGGCCUUUAAUUACAGAGACAGUAUUCUGUCUGUCUCCUGCUCACAGUUUCCCACUUCUGUAAAGGCAGAAGUGGGCAAGAAGGCGCCAGCUUUGGAGAAAUUGCAAGCAAUGAGAGUACAGAAUCCACGAGGUGGUUACGAGGCUGAAGGUAGACAGACAACUGAGGAGAAGGCGAGGGGGACCCUUGCCUGGAGCCUGG